GGGGUAAGGGAAAAGCUAUACAUCAAAUAAGUUAAUGCAAUGAUUCUGGAAGAUUGUUGUGUAGUUUGUAAAGAUUUUUAUCUAACAGCACAAGAAAGUCCAAUAAGAGUGGGGUGCCAUAUUGAAUUAAAACCUUAGUUAAAUACAGCAAUUGGUUUUAUGUUCAUUAAUAGCAUUGUAAUACUAGUUAUAAUUGAAAAUGGAUGUGAUGGCUGCACUUAAUUUUUACCCUAUUAGCAGCUAGGUACUGCAUUUCACACGGGGGGGAGGGAGGAAGACUUCAGGGGCUUUCCAGCUGUUGGAAAACAGAUGGCUGUAAACAAAGACAUAGGAGCUAAUACUUAUAUUUCCAAAAGCUUUGUUCAGGUCACAGCUCUGCUGCUUCAGUGGGGAGAGAAGUUGCAAAGUACAGCUCGUUCCCAGUCAGUGCUGAUCUUGGAGAUGAAGAAUACCUUUUUGUCUGAAGAGUGUGCCACCAGUGCUGUUCGGGGCUGGCACUCUAUGGAGGAGGAGGAGGAGGCGUCAGCUUAGCAAACAUGGACUGGGAGGCUAUUCUGAGAAUAGCAGGCAGCCUCAAAAGCGGAUCUGCAGUGAGAAGCAGGCAGAAGAGAUGACUGAUGAGCAGAAGGGAGAGGCAGGUGGCACUUCAGGGAGCUAUUCAGGUAACAGGAUACAUAAUGGAGUGAUGCAAAGAGCUGGGGUGGGAAAGAUCUCCCAUUUCCCUCUGGCUCUAUUUCUAGGUUCACAGAGGUAACUGCCCAGCUCUUAUUAAUCAUUUUCCUCCAGAAAUCCAGAAAUCGUGAGUUCUAGUUCCUGUACUGGCCCUGUAGCAGAGAGCUUGUUGUGGACAGAAAGGAAUGGUCCCUCCUGCUCUAAUUGAUAGCAAGCUGAAUGUGUCAAGGCUUUCUCCCAAGGCAUUAGCCCCUGGUGGGGAGUCAGCACAUCAUUCAGAAACUGGAGCUGUCAGGGCAAGGCAUGUUUUCUGCUUCUCUGGUUUUCUGAUUUUUCUUGUUUCUCACUUCUGUUUUGCAUGUAAUUUUGCCUGUGAAUCACGUAAUUGCUUCUGGUGGAGCUGCUGCAGGGUGCUGACUAUCCAACUGCCAUCCUGCAGGAACAGCUCUAUCCCUAGAGCAGGGACCUGGCUUUAUUACGUGUUCAGAACACAAUAUUGGCUAGGGUGAUAUCCUGGAUUGCUCAGUGCCUAUGCUCCAUCCCUGUUACCUUUUAUGCCCCUUUUUUUUUUCCUUUGCUAUUCAAAAAUGUGAGACUUUCUUCCCAGAUCAUUGAUUUUAAAAAGAAAUAAAAUUAUAAUUGAACAGCC